CAGGUUUACAGCUCAGCCUCUGACCCAUAUCUGGUUGAGGAGACUGUGGAUAAUCCAGAACAUCACCAGUGGAAAAAAAGGUGUGAAUGCAUUCAGAAAAAGCCCUUGUGAGUGAGUACACGGAUGCUGGGCAUGAUGAAGCACAAACCUUGAUGUGCAACACCACCUUAUGAAUCUACAGUAGUUACAUUAACAUUUAUCAGACUCUUUUGUCUAAAGUGACUUACAAUUGAGGAGACAUUCAGCAAAUCAACAAGAAGAGGCAAUACACCCAAGAUGUGCUAAUUAUACAAAAAAAUGUUAAGAAUUAAGAAUGCUUCUACAUGUGGUUUGUGGUUUGUCAAAAGUGGUUUGUUUUUUUGCGUGUGUGUUUGUUUUUUAGAUAUAUGGAGUGGUUGUAAGAAAGUGUCUGGUGCAAAUGUGCAGAAAUGGUGCCCAGAGAGAUGAAUGUGUGUAGCUAUUGCAUGUUCUGUGAUGGUUGGUCUAAUUUAUGAUGUAAUGCUGAUUGUGUUACAUUGCUUUAAAGUGGUAAUCUUUCUUUGAACAACUAAAGUGUUAUCUGCUUUUUCAGUGUAAAGAAGUUACAGCAUAGUUUACAAAAGAAGACUUAAUUUUUCUAAGUAUAUUUUUGUAACUCAUUUAAUGACAGAAUAUUAUUUUUAAAUGUUUUUUGUAAUAUAUGAAAAGUAAUUUGAAAAGUGUUUUUAUGAUGUAAGCUUAUUUUUGUAAAUCAUUUAUUGUUUUUAAUUUACUUCAUACUUGUAUUAAUAUUAAUUUAAUAGUAUAUUGUACAUACAGUAUUUUAACUUAUUGUAAUAAGUGAAGAUACAGAUAAAGACAAUAUUUGGAUUUUGAUAAUCAUUUUAUUGCUGGAAAAUUUGUAAAACUGUAAAAAUGCUAUUGAAUAAACUCAAUGAAACAGAAA
ensembl:processed_transcript